rnacentral:tRNA from 1 species
GGGAAUAUAGCUCAGUGGCGCAGCACCUGUCUGUCAAGCUUGAGGCCCUGGGUUCGAUUCCCAGUACCA